CUGUCUGUCAGAAACGACUUGGAGGCCAAACGGGUGGUCCGAUCUGGACAUGCCGCACAUCAUAUCGAUCGAAUUUCAAGGAAUUGGGCGGCGGAACCGUGUUGGAUAUUGGGGUGGAUGAAAUCCAGUUCAGCCAAUGGGUGUUCCAACAAGCAAAAUCAAUCGCCGCACUCAAAGCAACUCCCACCAAGGAAAGAGUCGAUCUGGAAGUGUCUGCAAAAGUCAAAUACGGCGACAAUAAAGUAGCCAACUUAAAAGUGUUUAAAGACUUUGAAAAACCGAGCCGAAAUUAUUGGAACAAGGGGCAAAAAGACGGUUCCGAUAUUUUGGUGUCCUACCUCGGUCAUUGAUGUUUGAUGGAUCCGAAAAAAGCUGGCCAUUUCCAAAGGGAAAGUACGACUUCAAUUUACUCAACAGUGCUGGCGAGGUAUGAGGCCUACGAAGUACGUAAAUACAUCCACGAAGGCAAGAAAGAAGGCGAUUAUGCUACUCACAAUGAAAGCUUGUUUAUUGCUCGCAUCGAAGACGAAAUUUUCAAGCAACUCGGUGUCACAUACCCAACAGAUGUAUGAGUAAUUCAAGUAAUUCAUACCAACUUUACAAAAAUUCGGGUUUCUUUUAAUGAAAUAAGAAGCUAUUCUUGUACUUUUUUUGUCCUGUGAAUCGAAUUCACUAAAAUCAACCGCAACUUGGCAAUGUUAGA